AUUCUCUCUGCCUUUCUCUUCCUCCUCCAGCAGGUUCGCACGGGCUGUCCUAGCAGGGGCUACGGCGGCCGACGAGUCCAACGUGUGACGCCUCCGUUUCUGCACGCGCUACCCAGGUCGGCUGAGCUCAGUGUUCUCGCGAGGAGGGGUAGUGGAGUGAGGUGGGUGGGUCUAAGUGCGACUUCCUCCUCUCUCGGCCCCGCCUGCAGGCGUGGGCUCUCGCCAGGUGGGCGGUUCUCGCGAGCUCCGGGUCUUCGCUGGUGCCGCGAGACUCUUCUCUGCACUGGCGGCGAGGGCGGAGUUGUGGUUUCGGCUUCGUGCCGUUUGUUGGGGCUGCGCACGGCGUGUGAGGAGCCGUGGACUCCAGCUCUGUGGAAAAAACGAAGCAAGUCUGGGAGAGUGGUCCUCGGAUGGAUGAGGGAUGAAACCAUGUCAUUUCUCAAUCUUGGGAACUGCCUGAGGUUAUUUGACUUCUUAUGCUCCUUCUAGAACCUCAAAGCUGAAGAAAAAACAGACCUGAAGAGAAGCAAGUUGCCCGAGAUCACCCAGCUAUGGGGAAGUUGAUGGAAACCAUGAAUACAGAAAACUGGAGAUACUGCUGGGAAAACAGAAAUUGGUUGGCUGUUUCCAGAA